GACUGCUCUUUGGUUGGUUGGUGUGUUGGUUGGUGGAGGCAGCAGCAGCAAGGAUGUGCAGUGUCGAUGGAUUGCGUCGAGCUGAGCUGGAGUGCAGCGUCCUGGAGGAGGACUGGCAGAGAGGACAGAGCUACACGGCUCAGUGGCACAGCCUCACCCCUGUUCCGGAGCACCAGCACGGGCUGACAGUGAUGGAUCCCGAGCGCUCAGCCCAGCACUGGGAGGCCAGGAGGCUCCUCCAGCGAUUCCUCUCAGGAGCCAUCAGCAAGAAUUGCCCACAUCCGAAAACAACCAGACGUGCCCAUCAGUCCAUCUCCGACCCCUCGGCCACGGUGCCGAAGGUGCAGCGAGGCUCAGUUCAUUUCCAGAAAGACGUGGGCAGUGUGAGCAUGAGACCGAAGAAUAGUGUGGUAGAGACCAGAGAGAGGAAGACCGUGGUGAAGAUAGCAAAGAUGUCGCGUUUCCUGGGCUGAAACUUUUGUUUGUGGUAAAGAUGCUACUCACCAUUAUAUCCCAAGCACAUUUGUAGUUUUCUUUGCAGCUUAGUUGAUUUUUAUUGUUUGUGUUUGCAAUAAAACUAAAUUCUUGUUCAAAAUUAAUUUGCCGUCUUGACUGAUAGUUCCCGUACAAAAACAAUUUUCCUUUUCAUUUGCAUAUGGGAAAUUUUCAUGGCUUUUAGAAUAACAUUUGUAUCCAAAAACCAGAAACACUGAAUGUUUGCAGACUCAGUUUAUGCCAAAGAGAAUUAAGUAUGCUUUGCAUUAACACUCUCCUGGAAAUGAAAAACUCUCGACCUCAUUUACUCAGUCUGACUCUCAUUGUAAUCUCCAAAUACCCUAAUUUUAACUUCAUCAGCUGGCAGAAUUCCAUAUCCCAAAUAACUUGUCUCCCUUGGACACUGUGAUGUUUUGGAUGUCUGAAGAGGGUCAUUGUGUGUGUGUGCGUGUGUGUGUGUGUGUGUGUGUGUGUGUGUGUGUGUGUGUACUUGUUUGGGAUUCUGGUUCAGCUGCCAGGGAUGAGCGAGGUGUUAAGAGACUCCUGGGGAGAAUACGUUUGAUUACUACAUGGCUGCGGUCCACUUUGGUUCAGCUGCUGCUUUGGGAUGCUCUGGGAAUAGACUGGG
rnacentral:lncRNA from 1 species